rnacentral:rRNA from 1 species
AGAGUUUGAUCGUGGCUCAGAACGAACGCUGGCGGCAUGCCUAACACAUGCAAGUCGAACGGCAGCGCGGGGCAACCUGGCGGCGAGUGGCGAACGGGUGAGUAAUAUAUCGGAACGUACCCAAGAGUGGGGGAUAACGUAGCGAAAGUUACGCUAAUACCGCAUACGAUCCAAGGAUGAAAGCAGGGGACCGCAAGGCCUUGUGCUCCUGGAGCGGCCGAUAUCUGAUUAGCUAGUUGGUGAGGUAAAGGCUCACCAAGGCGACGAUCAGUAGCUGGUCUGAGAGGACGACCAGCCACACUGGAACUGAGACACGGUCCAGACUCCUACGGGAGGCAGCAGUGGGGAAUUUUGGACAAUGGGCGCAAGCCUGAUCCAGCAAUGCCGCGUGAGUGAAGAAGGCCUUCGGGUUGUAAAGCUCUUUUGUCAGGGAAGAAACGGUGGGAGCUAAUAUCUCCCGCUAAUGACGGUACCUGAAGAAUAAGCACCGGCUAACUACGUGCCAGCAGCCGCGGUAAUACGUAGGGUGCAAGCGUUAAUCGGAAUUACUGGGCGUAAAGCGUGCGCAGGCGGUUUUGUAAGUCUGUCGUGAAAGCCCCGGGCUCAACCUGGGAAUUGCGAUGGAGACUGCAAGGCUUGAAUCUGGCAGAGGGGGGUAGAAUUCCACGUGUAGCAGUGAAAUGCGUAGAGAUGUGGAGGAGCACCGAUGGCGAAGGCAGCCCCCUGGGUCAAGAUUGACGCUCAUGCACGAAAGCGUGGGGAGCAAAUAGGAUUAGAUACCCUGGUAGUCCACGCCCUAAACGAUGUCUACUAGUUGUCGGGUUUUAAUUAACUUGGUAACGCAGCUAACGCGUGAAGUAGACCGCCUGGGGAGUACGGUCGCAAGAUUAAAACUCAAAGGAAUUGACGG